GCCAGGCAUGGUGAUGCAUGCCUGUAGUCCCAGCUACUUGGGAGGCUGAGGUGGAAAGAUUGUUCGAGCCCGGGAAAUUGGGGCUGCAGUGAGCUGCUACUGUACUCCAGCCUGGGCAACAGGGUGAGGUUCUGUCUCAA
rfam:Homo sapiens chromosome 6, GRCh38 reference primary assembly.